rnacentral:rRNA from 1 species
AUGGUAAUCCGCGGCAGGUUCCAUGGCGUCAGGUGGACGGUGUCCGGCUCCGGCGGCACUCCGGCCCCUCGGCUGCGGCCUCCUGCGACUUGCCAGGUUUUCUAUCAAUUGACCAAACCCAAACCGAGCCAGUCAUCCUCCGUGGACGUCGACGAUGCCGGCCGCCUCAGCCAGGACUACGUCAAGCGCGGCCCCCCAACGGGGACUUCUACACGUACGGGGCAGUGGCGCGGCGGCGCGCCACACGCCGCCGGGAAGUUCCUGUGGACGGACGGGUGCAUGUACGAGGGGGAGUGGCGGCACGGCAAGGCCACGGGCCGGGGCAAGUUCUCCUGGCCGUCGGGCGCCACCUACAGGGCGAGUUCAAGGACCUUCAUGGACGGCGACGACACCUACACCGUCGCCGCUGGUGAGGCCUCCUGGUCCAUGAACCUCAAUGACGGCGACGGCAGGAAGAGCUACGCCAACGGCGACCAAUAUGACGGCGACUGGCGCUCCGGGCUGCAGGAUGGCUAUAUACAUCUGGCGCAACGGGACCGAGUACAGGGGAGUGGCGGGCCGGCCUCAUCGACGGCCGCGGCGCUGGGCGCCACCGAGUCCACGCCGCUGCAGAGGCCGCUCAACAGUUCGGUACGAAAGAUUUGCAUCUGGGAGUCGGACGGCGACAUCACCUGCGACAUUGUGGACGGGGCCGCCCUGGUGGACGACGCGCGGAGGAGCGUGAGGACGGAGGGCGGCGGGGAGAGCGGGGCGCUUCUGCCUCCGCCGCCCCCGGCGCCGCGCAUUGCCAAGUGCGUGUCCCCGCCGCUGGCGAAGCAACAGGGGGAGACCAUCGUCAAGGGGCACAAGCACUACGAGCUCAUGCUGAACUUGCAGCUCGGGAUCAGACUUUUCUCCCGUAGUAGGGUGCUUCCAGUUUGUUGGUUCAUGGACGGUCAGAUGCCACAUCUCUCCCCUGAUUCCUCUAUGUCUCACACCACAGCGCCGCCGCCGCCGCCAACUCCGAUUCCGGGAGGCUCCGGUGGACUCCCAACCCACUGCUCACGGAUCUCCCCGACUCCCUCUAUGUUCUCCCCCGAUACUUCGCACCCGUCCACCGCGCCCCUGCACGCACGCCACGCAACAACCCUAGUCGCCAGGCGUCGCCGGCGUGGCUCCGGUAGCUCUGGUUUAUCAGCCAACUACCACUGCAUCACCUCACGCGCAGCAGCCGGCUCGGGAUUGACAUUGGUACUCCGUCUCUUCUACCUCGACUCUGACAUGGACAUGUCUGGCUCUGAUUUAUCUACUACACUAGUGCAUUGCAAUAAAGAGAAAUCCAUGAAUAUGCAGAAGAAGCCUUGGGAAUUAUUUAAGUCAGUUGUUUAUAGCAUGGUGAGGAUCCUUUCGAUAGUUCAUGUUGUUCAUAUUAAUGAUCUCCUCUUCUCUGUAAUACUUAUGGCCUUCUCCUCUACCUAUUCGGGCCAACAGUUUGAGCAUGCAUCCAGCAACCAUGGUGACAGAGAUGAGCAUACUGGAACUGCUCUAAGUUUCCAUGUUCUCCCUAAACAAGUGAACUAA